rnacentral:rRNA from 1 species
UACGGGGGGGGGCAAGCGUUGUUCGGAAUUACUGGGCGUAAAGGGCUCGUAGGUGGCCAACUAAGUCAGACGUGAAAUCCCUCGGCUUAACCGGGGAACUGCAUCUGAUACUGGAUGGCUUGAGUUCGGGAGAGGGAUGCGGAAUUCCAGGUGUAGCGGUGAAAUGCGUAGAUAUCUGGAGGAACACCGGUGGCGAAGGCGGCUUCCUGGACCGACACUGACGCUGAGGCGCGAAAGCUAGGGGAGCAAACGGG